AAGACAAGAAAAAGAAGAAAAAGAAGGAUAAGAAGAAGAAGAAGAAGGAUUCUUCUUCCAGUGAUUCUUCUGGAGAGGAUAAGAAGAAGAAGAAGAAGGAUAAGAAGAAGAAGAAAGACAAGAAAAAAGACUCCUCUAAUUCUGACGACAGCGACAAGGAAAACAAAGAAAAGAAGGA